CUCCAUCAAUAGUUCAUGCAUUAUGGGGAAAAAAUCCUCCAGAAGUAAAUCUCUGAUAUCCAAAAAUAUGGACGUUUUCGAUCUGAGUAUUCAUCCGUUACGGAAAAUAAACCCAUUAAGAGCACAAUUGUUAAUUCUUCUCCAUCGAUUGUGAUACAGUAUAUCUCUCUUUUUCUCUAAUCCCUCAUUUGUUUUUUUAUUCUUUUUUUUAUUAUGUUAGGUUAAACUAAAAAAAAAGAUUUUGAUAAUAGGUUUGUUUCUGAUUGUGGUUUCGUUUUGAAUUUCCAUUUGGUGUUUCUUAUUUUAGAAAUCAUUUGGGUGGGAUUUCAACAUGUGCUUACUAGAAAAGUUGAUUGAUCAGGUUUCUUUUUGUAAUAGACAUUUGUAUUUGUGUUGUAUCUUCUCCUGCUUCUACGUAUACUAUCCCCAUGUAUUCUACUUUAAAUCAUUCUACAAUGUAAUUGUUAUAUUUGCAUAUUUGGAUUCAUCAUAUCAAGAUUGUACUUAUUUCAUUAGAUAAAUCUCAUUGGAAAGGAAUCGAAUUAACAUGUGAUCUAUUGAGGAUCUCGGAAGCAAAGAAGAUCUGAAUCGAUUCUCUCCUUUUGAUGAUUAAGGCUUCUCCGUUUUUGCAGCACACAAUCAAGCUAUUUCAGGUUGGAUUCCUCAAUGUUGGGACCAUUGUUACCAUACCAUAUGGUGCAACCUUGGGAGCAAAAAAUUUCUACUUAGAAAAGAUAUGAAACCAUCAGCUGAGUUGGAGGAGAACAAUUCGAUUCAAAUAAAAUCUUUAUGAAAAGAAGUCGAGGAAAACAAAAUUGGAAACUGUUUGCAUCACCAAUCUUUCUUUUCAUGUUUCAUUUUAUAAUACCUUACUGCUGUGGACCAAUAUAUUUUUAACUUUUGGGGAGCUAUUUUUCACCACAGUAGCAUCAAAUGUGGGUUAUCUUUUUGGUUGGUAUGUAACAACUUCUCAGCUGAAAUGUCCAUAGCUGGGACGGUCAUCGAUAUAGAAGUUCAAUUGCUACAACUGGUUAACCACUUUGAAAGGAAAUCAAUUACCAUGCAUGGGCCUUGUAAUAAAUCGAAUUGGAUAUACGAAUGUGCGAGUAUAGUUCUUAUAGACUUCAAUGGAAUCGUAAAAGUUCUUUUCCAUUCUAAUUGUGGCUUCUGUAUCAAAAGAUUUUGGAAACAA